AUUGAACGCUGGCGGCAGGCCUAACACAUGCAAGUCGAGCGGAUGAAGGGAGCUUGCUCCUGGAUUCAGCGGCGGACGGGUGAGUAAUGCCUAGGAAUCUGCCUGGUAGUGGGGGAUAACGUCCGGAAACGGGCGCUAAUACCGCAUACGUCCUGAGGGAGAAAGUGGGGGAUCUUCGGACCUCACGCUAUCAGAGGAGCCUAGGUCGGAUUAGCUAGUUGGUGGGGUAAAGGCCUACCAAGGCGACGAUCCGUAACUGGUCUGAGAGGAUGAUCAGUCACACUGGAACUGAGCCACGGUCCAGGCUCCUACGGGAGGCAGCAGUGGGGAAUAUUGGACAGAGGGCGAAAGCCUGAUCCAGCCGUGCCGCGUGUGUGAAGAAGGUCUUCGGAUUGUAAAGCACUUUAAGUUGGGAGGAAGGGCAGUAAGUUAAUACCUUGCUGUUUUGACGUUACCAACAGAAUAAGCACCGGCUAACUUCGUG
rnacentral:rRNA from 1 species